rnacentral:rRNA from 1 species
UACGUAGGGAGCAAGCGUUGUCCGGAAUCAUUGGGCGUAAAGCGCGCGUAGGCGGCUCGAUAAGUCUGUUGUGAAAGUCAAAGGCUCAACCUUUGAAUGCCGAUGGAUACUGUCGAGCUAGAGUCCGGAAGAGGCGAGUGGAAUUCCUGGUGUAGCGGUGGAAUGCGCAGAUAUCAGGAGGAACACCAACGGCGAAGGCAGCUCGCUGGGACGGUACUGACGCUAAGGCGCGAAAGCGUGGGGAGCGAACAGG